CCUACGGGAGGCUGCAGUGGGGGAUAUUGCACAAUGGGGGGAACCCUGAUGCAGCGACGCCGCGUGGGUGAAGAAGCGCCUCGGCGCGUAAAGCCCUGUCAGCAGGGAAGAAAAUGACGGUACCUGAAGAAGAAGCCCCGGCUAACUACGUGCCAGCAGCCGCGGUAAUACGUAGGGGGCAAGCGUUAUCCGGAUUUACUGGGUGUAAAGGGGGCGCAGACGGCGAUGCAAGCCGGGGGUGAAAGCCCGGGGCCAAACCCCGGGACUGCUCUUGGAACUGCGUGGCUGGAGUGGAGGAGGGGCAGGGGGAAUUCCGGGUGUAGCGGUGAAAUGCGGAGAGAUCAGGAGGAAGACCGGUGGCGAAGGCGGCCUGCUGGACUGCAACUGACGUUGAGGCCCGAAAGCGUGGGGAGCAAAAAGGAUUAGAUACCCGAGUAGUC
rnacentral:rRNA from 1 species